CAGAUCUCCUUCGGGAGUGACGCUUGUGGAACGAGCGGCGGACGGGUGAGUAACACGUGGGCAACCUACCUGUAAGACUGGGAUAACUCCGGGAAACCGGGGCUAAUACCGGAUGAAACAAAGCGUCGCAUGACGCAAUGUUAAAAGGCGGCAUAUGCUGUCACUUACAGAUGGGCCCGCGGCGCAUUAGCUAGUUGGUGAGGUAAAGGCUCACCAAGGCAACGAUGCGUAGCCGACCUGAGAGGGUGAUCGGCCACACUGGGACUGAGACACGGCCCAGACUCCUACGGGAGGCAGCAGUAGGGAAUCUUCCGCAAUGGACGAAAGUCUGACGGAGCAACGCCGCGUGAGUGAUGAAGGUUUUCGGAUCGUAAAACUCUGUUGUUAGGGAAGAACAAGUGCCAUUCGAAUAGGUUGGCACCUUGACGGUACCUAACCAGAAAGCCCCGGCUAACUACGUGCCAGCAGCCGCGGUAAUACGUAGGGGGCAAGCGUUGUCCGGAAUUAUUGGGCGUAAAGCGCGCGCAGGCGGUCCUUUAAGUCUGAUGUGAAAGCCCACGGCUUAACCGUGGAGGGCCAUUGGAAACUGGAGGACUUGAGUACAGAAGAGGAGAGUGGAAUUCCACGUGUAGCGGUGAAAUGCGUAGAGAUGUGGAGGAACACCAGUGGCGAAGGCGACUCUCUGGUCUGUAACUGACGCUGAGGUGCGAAAGCGUGGGUAGCGAACAGGAUUA
rnacentral:rRNA from 1 species